AGUUGUCCUAGCUUCUCUUCCAACAAGUACUUAAGCGUUAUAAGGAGACCCCUUUUGCACUAUGAGCAACCAGGUGCUGUGCUGGGUGAUUCUUUGUCUCCUUCAAAGAGGAACCACGGAUGGUGGAAUCAAUCAGAUCCCAAAGUACCUGAUCAGAAAGGAAAAACAGGCUGUAACCUUGGAAUGUGAACAGAAUUUGAAUCACGAUGUCAUGUAUUGGUAUCGUCAGGACCCAGGGCAGGGGUUGAAACUCAUCUACUACUCACAAACUGUCAAAGAUGUUCAGAAAGGAGACCUGGCUGAAGGCUACAAUGCCUUCCGGGGAAAGAAGACAUCCUUUACUCUUGCUGUGACAUCAACCCAAGAGAACCAGAGGGCACUCUAUCUCUGUGCCGCUAGUGUGAACACAGUGAAACACCACCCCCUCUUCUCCAUGCAUAAAUGUGUCGCAAGCCCUGUUUCCCCACCAGGUGGCUCUUCUCGCCCAACAUGCCCAUUCGCAAACCUCCAUCAAGCGUCCAAAGAAGCUGCUACCAUCAUUAUAACUGAUUGA